rnacentral:rRNA from 1 species
CUCAAUUGGAAAGAGGAGUGGCGGACGGGUGAGUAACACGUGGGUAACCUACCCAUCAGAGGGGGAUAACACUUGGAAACAGGUGCUAAUACCGCAUAACAGUUUAUGCCGCAUGGCAUAAGAGUGAAAGGCGCUUUCGGGUGUCGCUGAUGGAUGGACCCGCGGUGCAUUAGCUAGUUGGUGAGGUAACGGCUCACCAAGGCCACGAUGCAUAGCCGACCUGAGAGGGUGAUCGGCCACACUGGGACUGAGACACGGCCCAGACUCCUACGGGAGGCAGCAGUAGGGAAUCUUCGGCAAUGGACGAAAGUCUGACCGAGCAACGCCGCGUGAGUGAAGAAGGUUUUCGGAUCGUAAAACUCUGUUGUUAGAGAAGAACAAGGACGUUAGUAACUGAACGUCCCCUGACGGUAUCUAACCAGAAAGCCACGGCUAACUACGUGCCAGCAGCCGCGGUAAUACGUAGGUGGCAAGCGUUGUCCGGAUUUAUUGGGCGUAAAGCGAGCGCAGGCGGUUUCUUAAGUCUGAUGUGAAAGCCCCCGGCUCAACCGGGGAGGGUCAUUGGAAAC